CACUUACCUGAUUGGUCCGCUGUUCAAUCUGACUCCUAGCUCCAGUUUGAAAAUGUCAGUGUCUCAGCAGACAGCGUAACAGAAACAGCUGCUGCUACUACGUCUGCAUAUUCCGUUCUAUCGACCAGUAACAAAGUCAGUCCGAGGCCGUUUAAUCCCUCGUGCUUUCAGUAUUUUGCCACUGUUCUGGAUCCCACCGAUCAUUAAGGAAAAGGAGAAAACCAAACAAACAAAGAAACUUCAUUCUGUGCUCCUGCCGUGCUGACGUGUCAUCACAAUUACCCGGAAGCCGGUGACAUCACAGUUAAAGGUCCUCCUGAAACCAACAACAGAAAACCUGUUCCAGCGCCUGCCUCUGAGCAAGAUUAUUUUCUCAUCAGACCUCUCUUGCUGUGGGGCAAUCUAUAUUGGAGCCCUAAUCCGUUGGAUUAUAAUGGACAUUUAUUUUUGGAGAAGAAUUUUGUGAUUAUUUUUUGAUGGCUAUAUAUUUAUUUUUCUUUUUGAAAUACAAGGACUGUUAAGCCUAAUUUUUUGUUGU